rnacentral:piRNA from 1 species
UAUGACUAGGAUUUUCCACACCUUGGCAU